rnacentral:rRNA from 1 species
GAUGAACGCUGGCGGCGUGCUUAACACAUGCAAGUCGAACGGAAAGGCUCCUGCUUGCAGGGGUACUCGAGUGGCGAACGGGUGAGUAACACGUGGGUGAUCUGCCCUGCACUUCGGGAUAAGCCUGGGAAACUGGGUCUAAUACCGGAUAGGACGAUGGUUUGGAUGCCAUUGUGGAAAGUUUUUCGGUGUGGGAUGAGCUCGCGGCCUAUCAGCUUGUUGGUGGGGUAAUGGCCUACCAAGGCGUCGACGGGUAGCCGGCCUGAGAGGGUGUACGGCCACAUUGGGACUGAGAUACGGCCCAGACUCCUACGGGAGGCAGCAGUGGGGAAUAUUGCACAAUGGGCGCAAGCCUGAUGCAGCGACGCCGCGUGGGGGAUGACGGCCUUCGGGUUGUAAACUCCUUUCGCUAGGGACGAAGCGUUUUGUGACGGUACCCGGAGAAGAAGCACCGGCUAACUACGUG